AUGCCUCAAACAUUUCCAUCUGAAAUGAUACCAUAACUGGGCACUGGCGAUUCUCAUCGGACAGCUUACACUCCAGUGGUGUCGGGUACAGGGAAUAUUUGAAGCAG
ensembl:miRNA Mir6401 microRNA 6401